rnacentral:rRNA from 1 species
GACGAACACUGGCGGCGUGCUUAACACAUGCCAGUCGAACGGUGAAGGGGCCUGCUUUUGUGGGCCCUGGAUGAGUGGCGAACGGGUGAGUAACACGUGAGUAACCUGCCCCCUUCUUCUGGAUAACCGCAUGAAAGUGUGGCUAAUACGGGAUAUUCUGGGUCUGUCGCAUGAUGGGUCUGGGAAAGAUUGCGCCUUUGGGUGUUUUUGGUGGGGGAUGGGCUCGCGGCCUAUCAGCUUGGUGGUGGGGUGAUGGCCUACCAAGGCGGUGACGGGUAGCCGGCCUGAGAGGGUGGACGGUGAAACUGGGACUGGGACACGGCCCAGACGCCUACGAGAGGUAGCAGUGGGGAAUAUUGCACAGUGGGCGCAAGCCUGCUGCAGCGAGGCCGCGUGAGGGAUGGAGGCCUUCGGGUUGUAAACCUCUGUCGCCAGUGAAGCAGGCCUGCUUCCUGUUGGUGGGUUGACGGUAGCUGGAGAAGAAGCGCCGGCUAACUACGUG